UAUUGGAAAUGCAUCUGAUAUAUUUAAUGUAUAAAACUAUAUUUAAAAAAAAAAGAUGUUAAGAUGAUGAGGAGAGCCACCUUGUCAGCCGGGAGAGCAGCUCUAAGGGAGAUGGUAAAUUUAAUCUUCACCAAGUCUGAGGCUUUACCAUGAAAAAUAUGUGGUUGUUAUAAUGAUGAUGUUUUCAUGGUGUUGGGAGUAAGACUUGGAUGUCUGAUAUUGUUAACAUGUUGGUUAGCAUCAGGUUUCCAUUGGGUUACUUACUGGGAUAAAGCUGU